CACCAGCUGGUGCAGAUGUACCGGCAUUUGGUAGCCCGAAUGUCAGCCCGUCAGCCUCUGGAGCUAGACUAGGUGAAAACCAGGCUCUGCUUCCCAGCCACUCCGGGGCAUCUUACUUAACUCUGCCUCACUUUGCUUAUUAACUUGAAAAUGGGGGUAAAUAACAGUGCCUCAACAGAGUAGAGCAGAAGGAUUAUGAAC
rnacentral:lncRNA from 10 species